rnacentral:rRNA from 1 species
UACGAGGGGGGCAAGCGUUGUUCGGAAUUAUUAGGCGUAAAGGGUGCGUAGGCGGUUUGGUAAGUCUUAUGUGAAAUCUACAGGCUCAACUUGUAGUCUGCAUGAGAAACUGCCGGGCUUGAGUAUGGGAGAGGUGAGUGGAAUUCCUGGUGUAGCGGUGAAAUGCGUAGAUAUCAGGAGGAACACCUGUGGCGAAAGCGGCUCACUGGACCAUAACUGACGCUGAUGCACGAAAGCUAGGGGAGCAAACAGG